rnacentral:rRNA from 1 species
ACGCUCGACACCUACGGUAGGCAGCAGUGGGGAAUAUUGCACAAUGGGGGAAACCCUGAUGCAGCGACGCCGCGUGAAGGAAGAAGUAUUUCGGUAUGUAAACUUCUAUCAGCAGGGAAGAAAAUGACGGUACCUGAGUAAGAAGCACCGGCUAAAUACGUGCCUGCAGCCGCGGUAAUCUGAGCGGGCUGGCAAGGC